rnacentral:rRNA from 1 species
CCUACGGGUGGCAGCAGUGGGGAAUAUUGGACAAUGGGGGCAACCCUGAUCCAGCCAUGCCGCGUGUGUGAAGAAGGCCCUCGGGUUGUAAAGCACUUUCAGUGAGGAAGAACGCCUGGUGGUUAAUACCCAUCAGGAAAGACAUCACUCACAGAAGAAGCACCGGCUAACUCCGUGCCAGCAGCCGCGGUAAUACGGAGGGUGCGAGCGUUAAUCGGAAUUACUGGGCGUAAAGCGCGCGUAGGUGGCUUGAUAAGCCGGUUGUGAAAGCCCCGGGCUCAACCUGGGAACGGCAUCCGGAACUGUCAAGCUAGAGUGUAGGAGAGGAAGGUAGAAUUCCCGGUGUAGCGGUGAAAUGCGUAGAGAUCGGGAGGAAUACCAGUGGCGAAGGCGGCCUUCUGGACUGACACUGACACUGAGGUGCGAAAGCGUGGGUAGCAAACAGGAUUAGAUACCCUGGUAGUC